UUAGCUAAAUUUUGCUGUGUUUUAAAGUAGUUUCGGUCUUUUACCAAGGCCCUAAAUACAGGUUUUACUAUUUCUCAUCAGUUCUAUUACAACAGAUAUCUGUGAUGCUGGCAAAUAGCAAUGGCAUGCCAAGUAUUAAAGAUAACAAGAAAGAAGAGUUAUAUUCUGUUGGGCGUCUUUGUGCUGCUGUCGGUGGCUUACACCUUCUGGUCUGCCAAACACCACCAGGCAUUGGUGUACUAUGUCAGAAACCGGUUCAUCAACCAGGCGUUGUACCGUGCGCCAGAGCUGAACGCCGCCGAGCUCAACAACACGCACCUGCUCCUCUACUGGACACCCUUCUUCCAGAAUGUGGCCUUCGACGGCUUCGGCCGGAGACCGUUCGCCAAAUGCCCGGUGAGGAACUUUAAAGGGACCCUCCCACCUUAAUAUUAGUUUUGAGUUGAGAUAGCCAAGUUUGCGGCCAGGCUCAGAAACCACCAUUUAUCCUGGUCGCAACCCCCGCAGCUUUAUGGUGUUCAAGAAAUU
rnacentral:lncRNA from 1 species